UACGGAGGGUGCAAGCGUUAUCCGGAUUCACUGGGUUUAAAGGGUGCGUAGGUGGGUUGGUAAGUCAGUGGUGAAAACCCCGAGCUUAACUUGGGAACUGCCAUUGAUACUAUUAAUCUUGAAUACCGUGGAGGUUAGCGGAAUAUGUCAUGUAGCGGUGAAAUGCUUAGAUAUGACAUAGAACACCAAUUGCGAAGGCAGCUGGCUACACGAAUAUUGACACUGAUGCACGAAAGCGUGGGGAUCAAACAGG
rnacentral:rRNA from 1 species